UGCCAUGCUCGUGAUUCAAUUUGAUGAAAACAGUUCUUCUGGGAAGAGGAAAGCAGGUGUGCUCUUCUUUGAAGGUUUUUAGUUGCCUGAAGUUGUAGAAAGCUGCAAAGUAAUUGAAUGUUACCAUUAUUGUUGGAAAUGAAGGACAGCACCUUUAUGGUUGAUUUCAGACCUUCAGCCACUAACAGAAAAACACACAAUGUACACUCUGAAGACGUAAGAAGUGCGUCUCCUCAGUGCCCCAAACCCAACGAGUCAGAACAACCAGAAGGUACUGCGGUGGAGCAGACCGACUCGGGUCGAGGGAGCCCAACUGAGGGGAUGGCGGAGCUGGUCAUAACGCAGGAGAUGCUGGAGGAGGAGAAGCAGCUGAUGAAGGAAGGGGAGAAGAAGGAGCAGGAGAUGCUGGCAAAGGCCCGGGAGUCUUGGGAGAGAGAAUCAAAAGAGAUGCGCUACAAGCGGCUGCAGCACUUACUGGAGAAGAGUAACAUCUACUCCAAAUUCCUCCUCACAAAAAUGGAGCAACAGCAGCAAGAGGAAAAAAGACGAAAAGAAAAGCUUGAGAAGAAAGCGGCAGCUGUUCAAAACAAACAAAAGGGAAAGGAGGUGAAGAAAGGGGAUAAGGGGUCUGAGACAGUUGAGAGAAAGAAACGAGGCCGAGAGGAAGACUAUAAAAUUUCAGACAUCAUGACAAAGGAGGAUAUUUUGUCAAAGGCCAAAAAACCCAGGAUGGAAAUGGAGGAGGAGGAGAUCUCUCUGAGGAAGAAGCUGGAGGCCGAGGAUAUUGAGAAGAUCAGCGAUUCAAAUUCAGAUAUCAAGGGCCGCCUGUCCCAGACCGUGCGCCACAAUGCCCAGCACAUGCUUGACCCAGUGAGGAGCGUCAAUGGGCAGCCUGUGCCCUACCAGCAGCCAAAGAUCUUCACUGGUGGCAUCAUGAGGUGGUACCAAGUGGAGGGCAUGGAGUGGCUCCGGAUGCUGUGGGAGAAUGGGAUUAAUGGCAUCCUGGCUGACGAGAUGGGGCUGGGAAAGACGGUGCAGUGCAUCGCGACCGUCGCCUUGAUGGUGGAGAGGGGGGUCCCUGGCCCUUACUUGGUGGUGGGGCCUCUUUCCACCUUGCCCAACUGGGUCGCAGAGUUCAAGCGCUUCACCCCUGAGAUCACAGUUUUGCUUUACCAUGGGGAGCAGAAAGCAAGACGUGAGCUCAUUAAAAAGAUUCACCGGCACCAUGGCUCACUCCAGAUGCACCCUGUUGUUAUUACAUCUUAUGAAAUUGCUAUGAGAGACCGGAGGUUCCUACAGCACUGCUACUGGAAGUACCUUAUAGUUGACGAAGGGCACAGAAUCAAGAACAUGAACUGCCGUCUGGUUCAAGAGCUGAAAAUGUUUCACUCUGAGAACAAGCUGCUUCUGACUGGGACCCCGCUGCAGAACAACCUGGCAGAGCUCUGGUCUCUGCUCAACUUCCUGCUGCCCGAUGUCUUUGAUGACCUGAAAAGUUUUGAGUCCUGGUUUGAUAUAACAAGCUUUACUUCUGAUGUGGAGAAUAUUGUUGCCAAAGAACAAGAGCAGAAUGUUUUACAUAUGCUUCAUCAGAUCUUGACACCCUUUUUGCUGAGGAGGUUGAAGACAGAUGUUGCUCUGGAAGUGCCUCCGAAGAGAGAAGUGGUGGUCUACGCUCCCCUGACUUCCAAGCAGGAGUCAUUCUACACCGCCAUUGUUAACAAGACCAUAGCAAAGAUUCUGGGACAGGAGCAGGAGGCCCCCCCCGUGCAGCUCACUCCAUCCGGCAGGCCAAGGCGCAAGAGCACGCGUGCUGUGGACUACAGGGAAUUUAACGACAAAUCGAUUGAUGACCUGGAGAAGCUUAUAUUCAGAUUGAAGAAGGAGGAGGAGGAACAGAGCAGGCCUGUGCUUGAUGUGCAAAUGCCUUUGGAUGCAGAGAUCAACCUCAAGUUGCAAAAUGUCCUGAUGGUUCUGAAGAGAUGUUGUAAUCACCCAUACCUCAUAGAAUAUCCACUGGACCCUGCCACUCAGGAAUUUAAGAUUGAUGAGCAGCUGGUUUCAACAUCUGGCAAGUUUCUUGUACUGGAUCGAAUGCUCCCAGAACUGAAGAAACACGGUCACAAGGUGCUGGUUUUUAGUCAGAUGACUUCCAUUUUAGAUAUUCUCAUGGACUACUGUUAUCUCAGAGGUUUCAGAUACAGCCGUCUUGAUGGAUCGAUGUCCUACGCAGAUCGGGAGGAAAAUAUAAACAAAUUCAGCUCCGACUCUGAGGUCUUCCUGUUCUUGUUAAGCACACGUGCUGGUGGUUUGGGGAUUAACCUGACUGCUGCUGAUACAGUCAUCAUCUUUGACAGUGACUGGAAUCCCCAGUCUGACCUCCAGGCCCAGGAUAGGUGUCACCGCAUUGGACAGACCAAGCCUGUGGUUGUUUACCGCUUAGUAACUGCCAAUACCAUCGACCAGAAGAUAGUAGAGAGGGCAUCAGUCAAGAGGAAACUGGAGAAGAUGGUCAUUCAUAAAAACAAAUUUAAAGGAGGGAAGGCAGGGCUGAACCAGUCUAAAAGCUGUCUGGACCCACAGGAGCUCAUGGAACUGCUAAAAUCCAGAGACUAUGAGAGGGAAGUGAAAGGCACCAAUGGGAAGGUUAUCAGUGACAAAGACUUAAAAGUCCUGCUGGAUCGCAGCGACCUAUUAGAUGAGAUGAAAAGGUUGAAGCCAGAAAAGGAUGGGGUUUUCCGAGUGAUUGAGAAUGACAGAGAUUCUUCAGAAAUUUGCUUGAGAUGAGGUGAUUACAGAUGGACAUUGGAAAAAUCUUCAGUAGCCCUUCCUGUCUGGAAAGACUUUCCUUGGUUAUACUCUUACAAUGCCUUUCUGGAAUAGGUCUUUUAAAAACUGACUGGUAUAGGUUAUGUGCUUCAAUCAGCAGCAUGUCUUAGCUGUAGGCAAUUCUGUGAAGCCUCCAACAAGCAAAAUCUUAAUACCACACCAUUUUCAACCAGGUGGGUGUGUACGGCCCCAAAGUCAUUGCGCAGGAAGCUAAAGAAAAGCAUGGAGAAGAUUAAGGAUUUUGUGUUCAUUUCAGGCGGUUUAAUCUUUUGUUCAUUCCUGUACUGACAUUCUCUGAAGGAUAUGGCUCUGUCAUAAAAAAUGCAAAAUGUAAGCAUUGUGUACUGACAAAUUUCAGGAUUUAGAUCAUUUCUGAUUUACGUUUUUGUGAUAUACAUUUAAAGGGCUGUUUUUAUUUUGCUGUAAUGUUUAGUCUUUGAAUCUAGAAAUCUGAUAUAAAGAAAUUUAUACUGUUGAGCUCAACCUUGCACAUUUUAGAUUUUGCACUUGACAGAAGAAAGACCUGGAAGUUUCCUUUCUCCCUUUUGCAAAAAAAAAAUUUUUGACAACGAUGUUAGGAAUUUAGCGCCUGAUCUGUGCUUCUUCUUUAGAAUCUUUUCAUUUCUGAAAACUAAAUGAAAAUCAUCCAGUAUGCAUAUAUUUUUUCUAUUGCUUUUUCACCCUUUGUAUGGCUGAAGAAAUAAUAAGGGGAAAAUAAUUUUCUUAAUAAGGACAUCAUCAAAGUAGUGUCAAGGAAAAGAGUAUUUACUAAUUGGAAAGCUGAAUUUCUGAGUAGUUUUUUAUUUUUGAUCAAAAUUAUCAUUACCUUUUUAAUUAUCUAGUGAUACAAUUCUGAUUUCCAUCGUGUCUGAGUCAGGUGCACUGUGAUGUUUGGCUUCAGAGCACAUCUGUCACUUUUGCUUUUGGAAAAAUAUUUUUGAGUCUUAUCUUUUGCACUAGUGUACUGUUGAUGACUCAAAUUUCAAAAUCUGAGUUUUGGAAAUUUCAUAUUUUGUUCUGUAUUUGCUUAAAACAAGUUGAUUUCCUAAAUUUCAAAUUGGACGUGUUUUAAGUAUGAGGUGUUGCUGAGAGGCCUAGGUUUUAAACAUCUCACAACACAAAAUGUUAAACGAAUUUCUACAUAAAAAGAAAAGAGCUGUAGUUUAAAUUGGCAUUGUAUACAUUGAUUUUACUGCAAGUGAACACUUAUUUCACAAGAAAACAUACUAAGCUUGUUUUUAUGUAUGUAUUUUUUUACAUUUUCUGCACUAGCAAUACAUGUUUUUUUAUAUUUGUGAAUGUGGGAAAACCUGAAAUAUUUUGUAGAGUGUAAAUUUAACAAUCAUUUAGUGUAAUGAUCUUCAAAUAAAUGUACUGUAAUAAGAAGUUUUGUAAUAAUAAAUCUAUCUUUGAAGUACUUGUUUUUCUUGUUGGUAUUUUAACUUCAUGGAUGCAGCUGUUUCUUAUAUCUAAUUGUAACAUGUACCCUAAAAGCAGCUUUUUAAAUUAAAGAAGAAAUAUGGAACAUGGCAUCUAGACUUAAUGUCAUGUUUUGUUUCUUGCAUGAUCAAAAAUGCAAAGUAUUCAAAACUAACCAGAUAUGCACUUGAAUCUGGUGAAAAGGCAUUAUAGAUUUAAUUAGAAGGACACUCGUGAUCCAGGUGAACUUUGUACUCACUACUGACAACUAUUAAAUCCUUAGACUAUGAUGUGAAUUCAGUUCACAGAUGUAAUGCACUUCAUUAAAUGGUUUUAUAUGUGUAUCUGAACAGGCUUACUGGAACCAUAAUGGAAUGUAGAAACUGAAAAUUCCUCCAAUUUCAUAUAAAUGAGGGCUUUUUAAUUUUGACAAAACACCUGGAAAAACAUGUUUCUGAAAUGUGUAGCACAAGUGAAAGUGCUAAACCACUUAGUUUAUUUCAAAUGAAGGCAGGGUACAUCCACCUGCUCAGAAGUAUGUUAACAGCCUCUGUGGUGUAAUGAUUCAAGCAUGAGGGUCAGUAGGUUACUAACAGGUAAGGUGUACUUGAGUGCUACAGUAAAGCUAGGUUAUGUGAAAUCUAACAGGACUGCUUAGGAAAAGGAAAUGAGUGUUAUUCUGUUGGCUGAAUGUCCUCUGUCUUUCCAGUCACUGCAGUGCUGAUCUGCUAUGUACUUAAGUCCUGGCUGCAGGCCGAAGUCCUGAGCCAUUUUCUGAAGGCAAGUUCAGACGGAUCAGAUUCACUGAGAACUUGGUACCAAGAAUUCUUCUUAAACAGCUGGGUUCCACAUAGCAACAAAUGGCUUUGGACACUGAGAAACUAAUGUCUGGAGCAGAGAAGUGCACCAGUAGCAAAGUUCGGUGGAGCUGCUUGCUUCAUUAUUCAGGUCCCUCCAAGAACUGAGAAGCUGCUACGGAAACCCAGCCAGCUUUUUACCUACUGUACGUGAAGUUUAAACUCAUCAAGGACGUUUGGACAAUGGAUUGUUGAGUAUUACUUCAUUUAAUGACAUCAUAAUUCUCGAGAACUAUUAUUUCAAAUGCAUGUUUGAUGUAUAGUUCACAAUAGUAAAUGCACAUUUAGACAAAAUUUCCAGGUAUGCGCAGAGCCAUGUUCUGCGUUUCAGAACGAGGCAACAAAACACCCAUUGAUGUGAAAAGGUCCUGUUACAUUGU